AUGGCAGCCAUACUGGUUUCUCUUGUUGGAUCAUGUGCCAAAAGAUUGCAAGAAAUAAUUACAGAAGAGGAGGUUCUUAUUCUAGGAGUAACUAAAGGUCUUGGAGGCCUGCAACAAACAAUGACUCAAAUACAAUGCUUUUUCAAUGAUGCUGAAGAAAGGAGGACAGAAGAGUCAGCAGUCAACAAUUGGCUUGGUGAGAUGAAAGAUCCUAUGUAUUAUGCCGAUGACAUUAUGGACUUGGUGAGAUUUGAAGGAGGCAAGUUACUAGCUGGACAUAAUUCCUCAUCAACAAAGGCAACUAAAUGUGGUGGGAUUUCAUUUUUCACAUGCAUUCCAAGUUGUAAGUAG
rnacentral:rRNA from 1 species